GAUGAAGAACGUAGCGAAAUGCGAUAAGUAAUGUGAAUUGCAGAAUUCAGUGAAUCAUCGAAUCUUUGAACGCACCUUGCACCCUUUGGUAUUCCGAAGGGUAUGCUCGUUUGAGUGUCAUUGUACUCUCACACUUCUAAUUCCUUUCGGGAUUGGGAGCGGUGGACUUGGGUGUUGCUGCUUUAGUUGUGGCUCACCUCAAAUAAGUUAGUGCAACUCUUGGUUGGACAUAGUACGGCGUGAUAAGUGUCUUCGCCGGCGCCUCUGUAAGGAGGGUGGCCGAUCGGGAGCUCUGUGCUUCAAACCGUCUUCGGACAAUCUUUGACGACUUGACCUCAAAUCGAGUAGGACUACCCGCUGAACUUAAGCAUAUCAAUAAGCGGAGGA
rnacentral:misc_RNA from 1 species